UGUACAACUGUAAAAUUUUUUAUUUCGAAAAAAUAACUUCCUUUGAAAGUCGGUCGGCAGCGGUCGGCAGUGUCAAUACAGAACGUAUUCAAUCAAUGUGAGGGAAAAUGGCGAAGGAUGAAAAGCUUGGUAAAUGGGUAGAGGCGAUGACACCACGUCAUGCAAUUGAAAACUUCUUUGAUCAUGCAACACUAGUUGAUUCACCCAAUCCCGAAGAGCUGUACAAGUCUUCCCCGAAUUCAGCUCUCACAGAAAUUCCAGAAUCCACACCUUUAGCUGGAAGUUCUCAAAGCAGCCAGAGAAGUGGUUGGAAAAGAAAGUCUGACCAUGAAGAGCAAUAUCAUGGAAAUGGUUCUAAAAGAAUUAAUGCUGAAGAGAUUGAAAUGUCUUUGAGUGAUUCCGUUUCUGACACAGUUGCAUUUCCUUCCAAGCUAGAAAGUCCUCAUCUGGUUAUUCCACAAAAGACAGAAUUAAAAAUCAAGAAAAGGAUGUCAGUUAGUGCAUUCACAAAAGCAAUUCAAAGUCAAGAGCCACAAGAAAGCAAUGUUACGAUGAAUGAAUCUAGUAUUGCUUCUGCAUUAGGAAGCCCAGAUGAUACACUUUCUCACCACCCAAGGAGAUUGGAGAAUCAUACAUCUGUAUCAGAUUUUGCAGAAACUCUAGGGAAGAAAGUCAUGAAAACAAUUAUUAAAGAUGAUUCAUCAAGCAUGGAAAAUGCUAGUGUUUUGUCCCAUCUAGACAGCCCCGAGCAUAUCAGCUAUAAAAAGCGUGGAACUGGCGUAGAAAAGAAACGGGCCUCGUCUACGGGCUUCAAAAGCAUUUUGAAUAAACGUUCGUUACAUAAAGAUAACCUGUCAGAAGAUGAAUCAACGGACCACUCAAUUACAUCAUCUACAAUCCUUACGGAACGGCAUGCGAAAAGCCCGCGAAUGUCCCCGGCCUUUGAACCGAUGCCUUCUAUCCCCUUAGAAGUCCACUCGCAGAUAGAGAAAACGCCCUCUAAAAUUCGAUCUGAUGCUCCUUCAUCUAACAGUGAUUCUGAAUUGUACGAAGGCAUGCCAGACUUGGAAUCCCCAGAUGAUUUCUCACCUCCUGGUUCAACUAUCGAGGUCCUCAACAGUAAGUCGUCAGAGCUGCUAGAAGUUACAAAGCAUUCUCAGAUUUCAAUAAGAGAAAAAAACGAAACAAUCCAGUCCAGUCCGUUUGUUUCGCAAAACGAGAAAAGUUUUGCCUCAGGCAACGUUAGCAAUUCAACUUCUGAUGUCCCUUCAGUAUUGGGCAGUCCACAGGAAUAUAAAGAAUAUCACCGACCCGGACAUAUGCCCUCGAAGAAAAAAGUUUCUGCAACUGGAUUCUUGGCCACCCUCAGCCAGACCGUUAAUUUUCAGUCGCGGAAGUCUCCGAAUAGGUUGCCUACAUCGAAGUAUUCUAAACGGACAUCAAUAGGAAAUGCCUCAGAAAAAACUGACGAAGAUCUGCGUCGGAACACUCCUUCGCCUCUGCUCGAGCAAUUGGGAAGGGUUACACGUAGCUCUAGCCAAGCCUUCGAUAUAACGCUUGUUUCUCCGGAAACAAGCGCUAGGAAAACCCGUACCCUAGAAUCGAAUCGCAGUGACUCAGACGAUUCUGCUCGUCAAUUGGUGAACAAAAAUCCAACGGCAUUAGUCAUGGAAAUGGAUGAAAUGCCGCAAAAUUCAAGUCAAACUUCCUUGAUUGAAGAUGAUUUCUCACCUCCUGGUUCAACUAUCCAGGUCAUCAAUAGAAAGUCUUCAGAGUUGCUAGAUGUUGCAAAGCACUCACCGAUUUCAAUUAGAGAAAAAAACGAAACAAAUCAGUCCAUUCCACGUGUUUUGCAAAACGAGAAAAGUUUUGCCUCAGGCAGCGUUAGCAAUUCAACUUCUGAUGUCCCUUCAGUAUUGGAUAGUCCACAGGAAUAUAAAGAAUAUCUCCGACCCGGGCAUAUGCCCUCGAAGAAAAAAAUUUCUUCAUCUGGAUUCUUGGCCACCGUCAGCCAGACAGUUGACUUUCAGUCGCGAAAGUCCCCGAUUAGAUCGUUUACAUCGGCUUCUGAACGGACAUCAAAAGGAAAUGACUCAGAAGAAACCGGUGAACUUCUGCGUCGGAACACUCCUUCGCCUCUGCCCGAGAAAUUAGGAAGGGUUACACGUAGCUCUAGCCAAGCCUUCGAUAAAGCGUUUGUUUCUCCGAAAACAAGCGCUAGGAAAACCCCUACCCUAAAAUCGAAACGAAGGGACACAAACGAGUCAGCUCAUCAAUUGGUGAACAAGAGUCCUACGGAAUCAGUCAUGGAAAUGGAUGAAAUGCCACAAAAUUCCAGACGAAAUUCCAAGAGAUCAUCGAAGGCAGCUUUUAAGAUAAUCGAACAUACGCAAGCAGAAGGAAGUCAUUCGGAUAAAGCAGUUGGUAUCCCGUUGAACGUAACCCCAUCAAAACUUACUAAUGAAAUGCGACAAGGAUCGAGCAGUUCUAGCCGAAUCGCCAACAUAUCAUCAGUAACAUCAAACCCUAGCCCGAAGAAUAUCCCACAUCCAGAAUUAGAUGACCAAGUAACAAAGGAUUCUGAAGAUAUCUUGCCAAUGCAGAUAAAAAAAUCAUUGUCCUUGUUCGAAAUCGCCUCGCCUAUUUUAGCACCAGUCGAAGCUAGAGUCUCUUCCGCUUCGUUAUCGCCCAAAAGACGCACGCGAAAAUCUCUUAAUUUUAGCACUCCAACUAUCAAAGACAGUACCCCAGCAACCCCAGCUACAGAAGAUGGUCUACCACCCAUCGACGAAGUCAUUGAAGAAACUCCCCCGACUGAUCUUGAUUCAAUGGAAGAAGACGCUUUCGAAGAUGAGCGCCCUAUUGGGGGAAUAGAAAAGGAAGUUGAAGCAGAAGACGGCCAUCCGACUCCGAAAACAGUAACACGUUCUUCUCGUGAACUUAAUCAGUUAACUCGCAAGUCCAACAGCUUGCAAAUGACUUCAACUAAUCGAUACCCUGCCUUGAAGAAUUCCACUAUAGUAGCAGGAGGGAGUGCAUUUGCCGGAGUUACACUCAGCAUGUCACCUAUUGUACCAGACAAACAAGGUGCCCCUUUGCGUGUACCCCCAUCUCCAAGACCUACCACACCAGAGUCGCCAAAAACAGUGGCACAGUUUAGUGCUAAAGAUAAAUCAACUCCGCCAAAGAAUCUUCCUAAAGUCUCUUCGCAUCCGUCAACUCCUGCCCCUUUUGCUAGAAAACGAACACGCUCCUUGACACAGAGUCCAAUGUAUAUGAAUGUCAUGAAAUCGUCCAUGCAAAAAGUCAUCAGCAAGACCGUUAAAGAUCAACAGCUAUUGGUUCCUACUGUUGCAUCUACGUCUGCAGACAAAAAUGUCACUACUCCCAAACCACUCUCAUCCGUCAAGGGACUGAGCCUUUCGAAUUCCAAAAAAGGGAAAUCGAUAGCUUUGUCGGCAUUUGAUGAAGUGCAUGAAUCUUCUGAUACGGAAUGGGAAGACAUGGAAGAAAAUAUAAAGCCCAAACCAGCCUGCAUUAAAAUUGCAUUCGAGGAAAUACCAGAUAGAUCCAAGGAUUUCGUACCAUUUGAAGAACGGCUGAUGGCAGAUCCAGUCUUUCAAGCAAAGGUGAGUAGACAACGGACAAAAUUGGCUGCCCAAAAAGCGGCUGAGGAGGCAGUAGCAGCAGCAGCAAAAAAAACGACCUAUAAGAGAAAACAGCGCGUUAUCAAGAAGAAAGAAGAAGAUAACAUAGCGAGUGUUGCGACCAACAAAGGCAACUUCCGCUUCUAUGCACGCGCUAAGGUGACUAAAGAUGCUUUGGAAGUUGUUCACGGAUUGGUUGGUGAAUGGUUUGACUUCACCCUUCGUCAAAUAGAAAAGUAUUGCAUUGAUGAAGGUAAAGCGUCCUUGGACACUUGGCAAGACUGCUACAAAGUUAUGAAAAGGCAGGGCCUGGCUAAAAAUUAUGCAGAAUACGCUGGUCUGUGCCAUGACUUACUCAUGAAUGAUGAAUGCGAAGAACUUCUCCCUACCCGCCCCCCACCUGAAUAUGCCGAAUGGAAACGCGAAGCCCAAAAACGAAACAAAUGACUUGGUCGCUGGGUUGUUUGUUUUUUUAUAUUCAUUUUUCAUCCGAACCGUUUUGUUUUCUUUGUUACCAUUCCUUAAUGAUCAGGGAAACAGUUCGCCAUUUGGUAGCUCUAGCCGAGGGAGCUUUCCUGUUCCGAGCGUUUAUUUUAUUUUAUUUUUAGUUGAACACAGAAAUACAAAAUCAGAAGACAA
rnacentral:misc_RNA from 1 species